UACGUAGGGGGCGAGCGUUGUCCGGAUUUAUUGGGCGUAAAGAGCUCGUAGGCGGCUUGGCAAGUCGGGUGUGAAACCUCCAGGCUCAACCUGGAGACGCCACUCGAUACUGCUAUGGCUAGAGUCCGGUAGGGGACCACGGAAUUCCUGGUGUAGCGGUGAAAUGCGCAGAUAUCAGGAGGAACACCGGUGGCGAAGGCGGGUCUCUGGGCCGAUACUGACGCUGAGGAGCGAAAGCGUGGGGAGCGAACAGG
rnacentral:rRNA from 1 species